GUUGUUGUUGUUUUUCAGCUGUCCAAAGCAUUGUGUUUACCGACAUUCCAAAGGUUUCUUGUGUACCUUUCAUAAAAUGUUGGUCUUCUCAAGAGUUACGUACAUCACCUUGUCAUUCCUUCUUUUUUCUGAAAGUUUCUUUAUCAUAUCAGCAUUUUUCAGGACUCAUUCAAUGUGUAGAAAUUUUGUUCCUUAUAUGACUUGCCCCAAAGAGAAUAAUCCUGUCUGUGGGUCCAAUGGCCAUACUUAUACCGGCAGAUGCAUGUUCUGUAAAGCAUACAA